GCUGUUAAGGGUUCGUAGUUGAACUGAGGGUUGCCAAGGAGAGGUUCCGUCCCAUUCGCCUUUGAUGCGUGACCGCCACUCUUGGAACUCGUGAACAUUCGAAACAGGGCACGGGAUUGGUUUCUUCCCAUUUUCGCGUGUCAUGCACGCUGGGGGACGCCCGUGAUUUUUACUGUGCUAAAAAAGUGCGACCAAAGCAGUCGUUCGACAUGAAUUAGAAAGCAUGGGAUAACAAAGCUCAACCUACGGUACUACCGUUUUGGCUUUUGUUGGUUUUAAAAGUCUGUGGGAGAUUUGGAUUCGCAUGACCGGCGUUGGGGUUCUCCCCGCGCUUUCGUAGCUUGGUUCGCGCCAGGCUGCGCUUGCGGCGUCCAGGAAUGAAGGAGGGUUGUUCGGGGGAGAACGUACUUGAAUGUGGAGGUGAAAUUCUUAGACCAUUCAAAGACGAACUACAGCGAAGGCAUUCUCCAAGGUACCUUCCUCAAUCAAGAGCCAAAGUGUGGAGAUCGAAGAUGAUUAGAGACCAUUGUAGUCC
rnacentral:rRNA from 1 species